UCUUUCACCAGACUGAUACUUAGGCGGCUGCUCUCCUCCUGUCUCUCAAGGUUACACAACCCAUUACACAGCCCAAAGAACUACUGCUGGAUGGGGAAGGGGAAAAAAAUUGCAAGGAGCUAAAGCUACUCAAUUGUUAUCAGACUUCACUUGUCAGAUACAAAAUAUUGUUGGAGUGUUUUAUGCAUUGAGGAGGUGUUGUUCGGUUACGGAGGACAGCACUCUUCGUUCUGAGUGGCAUGGCCUGAAGGAAUUAGUAAGAUCUCUGCUGUGUGACUGUCAUUAUGCUAUUUCCAUGCUAUUUGCUUCCUCAUCUCUUUUCCCAACAAAUAUAUAUUAAAAUAAAUCACUGUGGUAUGUAUUUCCUGAGAUGAACUAGCCACAUUAUAGAGAUGACCAGAUAAAAUGCAAGUAUGCCCUGUAUGAUUCAGAAUAAUUGUCACUAUUUCCUUAUAUUCUGUUUUUUCAACACUGAAAUAAUAAUCUCUGGACAAUUUUCUAAUCCAUAUGUCAAGGAUGAUGAGUAGGAAAUAUUUUAAAUCUAUAAAACAGAGCAAAACUACUUAGCUCAGAUAAGAAACCAAGUAAUAUUACUUGCUAAGAAAUUAAUUCUCCUUUACAUAGAACAGCUGUUUUUAUAAUGGAAAUACAGUCUAAUAUUUUCUGUGGGAUACAUUUGAAUAGUGUUUGUUUGUUUGUUUGUUUGUUACAUUUCUAUACCACCCAUCUCACCUAAAUGACUCUGGGCCACCUAAAUGACUCUGUCUGCCUGUCUGUCAUUUAUCUAUACACAUACAUUCAGAAUGCCACAAUGGUUAUAUUCACAGUGUUUAAUUAUGCUUUAUCAACUAAGUCAUCAUGGCUAGGUAUACAUAUGUUAAGCCAUAAAUCAUGAUAUACAAAUCACAACUAACUGGAUUCAUACAACAUACCAAGUCAAAUCCAAACAAAUCACAUUAGCGUUUAGCCUGUUCUCCUUUUAUUAUUGAUUGUUUAACUUUGGACUAUUGGACAAAAUUAACCACCUGCAAAAAAAGUCAAAUAAUAGUUUUAGAGUUAUCUUAAUUUCCACAAUUUUGAUUAUAAUACUGUUAAUUUUCAUUCUAUUGCUGCAAAUCACAUUUUGCUAAAUAUAAAAAAGCAAAACAGAGUCAACUGUACUUUUUACUUUUGGGGUAGGCUUGGAUUUUUAGGCUGGACUGGGAAGCUGGAAAAAAAAUCCUGGAAUAAGGCAAUGGGAACCACUUUAUUAUUGUUGCCAAGAAGCCUGCAUCAAUGUGCCCACCUAAGGACUCAUGCUCAGCUCAGUAGAAAUAAAAUAAUUUUAUUAAGAAAUAUGUGGAUCUUGAUCUAUUCUAAGUAACUAGUUCAGAUCUAUCUGGCUUAUUGUGGACUAACUCCAGGUGAAUAUACUGUCUAAACUUUGCUGCUAAAUAAUUACCCUUAGAAUUACAAAUAUAUUUUGUUCAAGGUAAAUCACUGUGAUCAUUUCAGUGAUUGUGUCUUUUGCAUCGUUUGCAAAGGCUAUGUUACAUCAUGUGUAUCAUCUGCAUCAUGAUUACAUUAUGCAAAUUAUAUAAAUCAUGGAAAUUAGCCCAUUGCUUGGUUGUAUCAAGGUCUGUUAAAUCAAGUUUCAGUAUAUUGAUUCUCAAAAAAAACUAAAAGGAAAAACUGAAAGUUUAAUUAACUCUUUGGAAAAAUGAAUGGAAAUUAGCCAUUUUCUGUAGUACAUUCAAAUGUAAUUUUGUGUUUGUUUGCAGAGGAUUUUCUAAAUUGUUAUUUUUUUACAGUUUGAUAACUUCUUGCUUUUUGCUAUUUUCCCCUCUAUUUACUGCAGCAUUUUAUCCUUAAAAACUUUUUUCUUUGUAUUUUAUACUUUCAUAAACUAAUAAAAAAAAGUUUUGAUCCAAAAAAAAAAAAAAAGCAAAUUCUUGGGUUAGCCCAUCCAGUCAAAAGCAAGUUAUAUCCUUCCAAUGAAUUUAUAGAGA